rnacentral:rRNA from 1 species
GUGUCAGCAGCCGCGGUAAUACAUAGGGGGCAAGCGUUAUCCGGAAUUACUGGGUGUAAAGGGUGCGUAGGCGGUUAAAAAAGUCAGAUGUGAAAACCCAUGGCUCAACUAUGGGAAUGCAUUUGAAACUUUUUGACUAGAGUACAGGAGAGGUGAGUGGAAUUCCUAGUGUAGCGGUAAAAUGCGUAGAUAUUAGGAAGAACACCAGUGGCGAAGGCGACUCACUGGACUGAAACUGACGCUGAGGCACGAAAGCGUGGGGAGCGAACAGGAUUAGAUACCCUGGUAGUCCACUGCUGUAAACGAUGAAUACUAGGUGUUGGGGGCUAAAGCUCUCAGUGCCGCAGCUAACGCAAUAAGUAUUCCACCUGGGGAGUACGAUCGCAAGAUUGAA